UUAUUAUUAUUAUUAUUAUUAUUAUUAUUAUUAUUAUUCAAUAUCAAGCAUAUUCAUUACACGCGGACAUAGACCGUGGCCACGUGCGGAGCGUUUUUACUUUGGCCUAUGUCGCGUGGUCUUCAGGAAACGUAAAUGACGUCAUAGAAGUGGAGACAGCGCGCGUACCAAACAGGAGCAACUGUCGGCAGCAUCAGAUUCCUCUGUGUCUAUCAGUGCAAUCAGCAGGCCAGACCCGCAGUCAGCCAAGCAGCCUGAAACAAAGCAGCAAGAACGACUGAAAAUAAAGGAUCAACCCCCCACCCCCUUCUCCAACAGGAGAAGCUAAACAAAAAUGGACCAACAUUAUGGGGCCAUCAGUGGGAUUCAAUAAUCGAGCCUUUAAUUUUGCCUUCGCAGUAGAGCCAAUACAGAUGGGAUAUCCAGCCUCACGAGUCUGCUUGGAUGAUUAUAUGUGGUGCCAGGGCAGAAGGUGUCUGCCAAGAAAGGAGCCUGCUUUUUCUCACUAUAUGAGAAACCAACAUGGAUGGAUACAGCAGCCUAGGCACCAGGACAUUCUUUCUGAAAGUAUCUUCAAGCUCUGGUGCAGUAGUCCUCAGGAACCAGACCCCGCAAGAGGUCAUUAUGUCGGUUGGUUUAUUAGCUAAAGGGAACUGUGUUUGUUUAACUCGGGAAUAAAAAACUCUCCAAUUAAGCA
rnacentral:lncRNA from 1 species